CUCUGGUGGGGGGUAAGCCAUGGAGGAUGUUUCUAGGAGGUAAGAAUUAUCAUCAUAAAGCGACAUAAAACGAGAGAUAUCACCACCAAUGAUCUGCUUCCAUGACUUGUAGUAAUCUAAAGGCGGCUCCGUUUUGAUUGCUUCUGAAUCAUUAUUAUUCUCAUCAUACACAAGGCAAAUCCCACACUCCUUUACUUCUAUACUACAGAAGUUGUCUACUUUUAUAGAAACACAGAUUACAUCACCUUCCUCCAACUCAUUAUUCUGAAACAUCAAAUGAUUAAUCACAGUGAUAUCUCCCUUCCAAUGAUUUAUAUAUGUCCAUGUGAGAUUUUUGGUCAUGUUGUUGAUUUUAGUUGCUGAGGGGCUGGCCAUAAGAAAAUGGUAGGAAUCAAUUUCAGAAAUUGUCUGCACAAAGCACACAUUUAAUCCUCGGAUCCUAAAAUUGUUGGGAGAUGGAGGCACAUCAAAGUAUAUAAUGGGCCCAUUGAUUUUAUGAGUGAACCAGUCUGGAACUUUAUCAUCCCAUGAAAAUGUGCUGAAUAUACCAUACUCAUACAACAUUAUCAUUGGCGGAGGGAAGGUAUAGUUGGCAACAAACUUCUGCUUUUCCAGAAAACCUAUAUCAUACCAGCCCAACCUAUCCGUAAGAAUUUUUUGGGUAGCUACAACCUUAAAAAUUCCUUGGGCUUCCACCAGGUCAUAACAAAAAAGAGUAUAAAUAUAUGGUGGUCUGGAAUGUGCUGAAUGAAGUGUAAUUUUUUCCAGGGACUCACAUCCACACACAUCCAAGACUGUUAUAGUAUUUGGAAGUUUUAGGACUGAUUUGAGGUUGUUACAGUCCCGCGUAGUAAGUUUGUCAAUCUUAACAAGACUUCUAACACAAUCAGGAAGUGAAUCUAUUGGAUUGUUACUUAUGUCCAAUGUCACCAGCGAUGAUAAGCUGCUGAAAUCAAUGGGAAAAGACUUGUUAGAUAGAUCAUUAUUUGAAAGCGUUAGGUUCACAAUGGAAUGUGGCAACAACCAAGAGGAUUUUGGACUUUGUGCCUGUUCAUGUUUCCGGGGAGCUUUUCUAGCAUUGCACAAUAGCUGAGGUCAAGUAAAAGAAGUCCUUGAAGCUCUCCAAUUGAUGCACAAAUCUCAACCAAUCUACUACAUUUUGCCAGUAUCAGCCGCUCGAGAUUAGGAAGUCCUGAGAAAUUUACUGUUCUAAGCUUCACAGAACUACUUAGAUCAAGAAACUUCAACAAGAUUGGGAGUCUGUCUUUGCCACUGCAAAUAAUGGACAUUAACUCAAGGUUUAUGAAACUUGACAAAUGGUUAUGUAUUUAUCUUGACUUUGUAAAGCUGGAGCAAAUGAACCUCAUGAACAAGUACUAUACAGGCCUGAAAUCGAUACAAGGGAUUAAGAUGAAACGGUAAUUGUAGUAGAUUACUAAAUGCCAAGUGGUUCUUACCAUCCUGUAAUAUCUUUUCCUUUCAAAUUAGCAACUUUUGUAAGUGCCUCUUUCCAUAACUUGAACUUAUGAGUCCUGUGCAUUUUCUUCUCCAAAUCCGUUUCUUCUUGUAUGUCCAUCUCAUGAUUUCUAAAUGCAUCUUCAAAACUGCCAUGUUGUUUCCGGACAUGGGAUGGGUCAACGUGAUAGAAUAUAGGCAAAACAAUCAUUCCCGAGUUUGUAUGCUCCUCGAGAAUCAUUAUCAAUUCAUCAAGGCACCAUGUAGAAGAUGCGUAAUUCUUUGACAACACAAUGAUUGAUGCCCGGGACUGCUUGAUUGCUCUUUCCAAAUCUGGUUUCAGAUCCUCCCCAGUUUCAAUUCCUUCAUCAUCUAGGAAAGUAUCGAUACCUGCUUGUACCAAAGCCUUGUGAAGAUGAUCAGUGAAACUAAGACGAGUAUCUUUGCCCCUGAAGCUCAAGAAGACUUGGUAGCUAUAGUCAGUAAUUGUCUUAGAUGAUGCUUGUUCUUCGUGUAAUUGUUUUAUAACACCCAUCAUGGAACAACAAAUUGGGAUUUCAUAAUGAUGAAUGGUAACUCAUGAAUGGUAACUCUA